rnacentral:rRNA from 1 species
AGAGCGAACGCUGGCGGCAGGCCUAACACAUGCAAGUCGAGCGCCCGUAGCAAUACGGGAGCGGCAGACGGGAUAGUAACACGUGGGAACGCGCCCUUCGGUUCGGAAUAACUCAGGGAAACUUGAGCUAAUACCGGAUACGCCCUUACGGGGAAAGAUUUAUUGCCGAAGGAACGGCCCGCGUCCGAUUAGCUAGUUGGUGAGGUAAUGGCUCACCAAGGCUCCGAUCGGUAGCUGGUCUGAGAGGAUGACCAGCAUCACUGGGACUGAGACACGGCCCAGACUCCUACGGGAGGCAGCAGUGGGAAUAUGGACAAUGGGCGGAAGCCUGAUCCAGCCAUGCCGCGUGGAUGAUGAAGGCCUUAGGGUUGUAAAGUCCUUUUAACGGGGAAGAUAAUGACGGUACCGUAGAAUAAGCCCCGGCUAACUUCGUGCCAGCAGCCGC